GACGAACGCUGGCGGCGUGCUUAACACAUGCAAGUCGAGCGGUAAGGCCUUUCGGGGUACACGAGCGGCGAACGGGUGAGUAACACGUGGGUGAUCUGCCCUGCACUUCGGGAUAAGCCUGGGAAACUGGGUCUAAUACCGGAUAUGACCUCCUAUCGCAUGGUGGGUGGUGGAAAGAUUUAUCGGUGCAGGAUGGGCCCGCGGCCUAUCAGCUUGUUGGUGGGGUAAUGGCCUACCAAGGCGACGACGGGUAGCCGACCUGAGAGGGUGACCGGCCACACUGGGACUGAGACACGGCCCAGACUCCUACGGGAGGCAGCAGUGGGGAAUAUUGCACAAUGGGCGAAAGCCUGAUGCAGCGACGCCGCGUGAGGGAUGACGGCCUUCGGGUUGUAAACCUCUUUCAGCAGGGACGAAGCGCAAGUGAUGGUACCUGCAGAAGAAGCACCGGCUAACUACGUG
rnacentral:rRNA from 1 species